rnacentral:rRNA from 1 species
UACGUAGGGUGCAAGCGUUGUCCGGAAUUAUUGGGCGUAAAGAGCUCGUAGGCGGUCUGUCGCGUCUGCUGUGAAAACUCAGGGCUUAACCCUGAGCUUGCAGUGGGUACGGGCAGACUAGAGUGCGGUAGGGGAGACUGGAAUUCCUGGUGUAGCGGUGAAAUGCGCAGAUAUCAGGAGGAACACCGGUGGGCGAAGGCGGGACUCUGGGCCGGUACUGACGCUGGAGACGGCGAAAGCCGUGGGGAGCGAACAGG